GGUCCUGUAGUCUAGCGGUUAGGACAUUGGAUUCUGAUAUUCCAUAUUUCCAAGAGCCCCGGUUCGAGUCCGGGCAGGACCU
rnacentral:tRNA from 1 species